UUUUCCACAUAGUCUCUCUUUUGCUGAUAACAUAAUUACUAAAGUGGACAGUGACAACCUGUUUGAAACUUGGCUGAGUAACGUCAGUGCCUCUGAGCUAGUGAAGGAAUUCACAGAUUCCAUCACUCGUGUGGGAGCUUUAUGCACACAUGUCCCCUGCGUGCACCUUCACAUGUGGAAGUCUGGGGAAUGGCUGCUGUGCUCGGGCAGCCUCCCGUCGUGAUAGCUGGAGAAGACAGGACAGUGUGCCCUGCUACAUUCACUGUCCUGUUCUCCCUGCGUAAUGGAAGAGAAGCCUCACAUGGAUCGGUCCCAUUAAACCUCUGUAACGGCCUUAAGUGAGAACUUUGCAGGAGGCGUUAAGAGUUUCUGGCUUUGCCUCUGUAGGAAGACCCUUCCUCCCAUGGAUGGGAGUGAGCGCCAGCGAACCUGUGAUCACCUGCUUGCUGAGCGAGCAGGUGUCUGCAAUAGCAAACGCCUCUUCCUUCGAUGGUUAAAGGCCUCUGGGGAAGUAGAGACCCAAUGACAGAAAAUUAAAGAGCAGGCACGUUGGCUAUAGCACCGUCACCUGAUAACCAGCUGUCUUUUUCGUUUAUUUGGCUGGAUUCCUGCAGUUCUGGGCUCCUGAUGUGGAACCGUCUUGCAAAUUGGGUUUAUUGUGUUAGUCGCAUCGUGACACGUGGGAUCCAGUUCCCUAACCAGGGAUUGAACCCGAGCUCCCUGCAUUAGAAGAAUGGAGUCUCAGCCACUGGAGCACCAGGGAGGUCCUCUCAUCUUUUUUUAAGUUAAUUUCUUCGGCUGUGCUGGGUCUUAGUUGAGGCAUGUGGGAUCUACUUCCCUCACCAGAGACCCAACCCGGGCACUUUGUACUGGUAACUCGGAGUCUCAGGCACUGGAUGACCAGAGAAGUCCCGAGAUCCCAACUCUUGAUCACUGAUACUUUGACAAAAGAUCUUCAUGAAACGGGGAAAUGUGGAAUUAAUUACAGAAACCACACCUGCAGGAGGCUUCAGGCUGGGGGAAGUGCUCACCCCCACCAGGUGCGUCAGUUACUCUAAACAGGAAGUGAUCUCUGUCUAUCUCCCACUGGGGAGGCGCCUCUACUCAGCAUCAGGCGGGAGGAAGGAGACUUCUGUUGGCCCCCUACCCCACGCACAGCUCAGUCUGUCAGAGAUUUCAGCAGUCCAGCCAAUGGGAAGCCUCCACUGGACCCCCAGCGCUCCCUGACUGCCCCUUUUCCCCAUGAGAGUGAGUUCCUCCCAUGCUCUCCAUCUGCCUGUGGUCUGCCACAGUGGUGUCUACACGCGUAUUAGAAUUCCUCUGUUGUGGAGCAUAAACCUACAGGAAUGCUGCAAACAGAGCACAUCUAUGCUAAGCCAGGAGCGCUACCCAAACCAAGGUCAACAUUAACUUUGAUCUAACAGGUUAAAGCAACGUCUGAACUGUUCUUUCCAGAAAACAAUUCUGCAAAGUCAUGAUGUGGCAUUCAAUGAGAAUGCGGACAAAAAUGCAAGCAAAGGCAUUAAAGAUGCAUUCAUUAACUCAUACCAAGGCUAUUUUUCUGAAUUUGUGAUGCUUGUGGCAUUUGUCAAUUUUUGACUUAUUUUCUCAUGAUCCAAGAUUACCAUAAAAUAACUGUAUUAGUUGUCCUAAAAUAGCAUUCAUUACAUUAUGUAUACAUUCAUAUUAUACUGUAAAGUUAUGUAUACAUUAUUCAAAAUAUACGUUA
ensembl:lncRNA